rnacentral:rRNA from 1 species
UACGUAGGGGGCUAGCGUUGUCCGGAAUCAUUGGGCGUAAAGCGCGUGUAGGCGGUCCGGUAAGUCCGCUGUGAAAGUCGGGGGCUCAACCCUCGAAUGCCGGUGGAUACUGUCGGGCUAGAGUGCGGAAGAGGCGAGUGGAAUUCCUGGUGUAGCGGUGAAAUGACGCAGAUAUCAGGAGGAACACCAAUUGCGAAGGCAGCUCGCUGGGACGUAACUGACGCUGAGACGCGAAAGCGUGGGGAGCAAACAGG